UACCAUUUUAAAAUGCCAUUCAUUGGUAUUAAUUUCAUUCACAGUGUUGUAUAACCAUCAUCACAAUCUAUUUCCACAACUUUCUCAUCACCCCAAACAGACACUCUGUACCCAUGAAGCAAUAGCUCCCUAUGGUCUCCCCCAGCCCCUGUAGCCUCUAAUCUACUUUUUGCCUCUUUGAAUUUGACUUCCAGGUACCUCACAUGAGUGGAAUCACACACUGUUUGUCCUUUUGUGACUGCUUUUUAAAUUUAGACUAAGGGCUUCCAAAUUCAUCCCUGUUGGCGCAUGUGUCAGAAUGUCCUUCCUUUUUAAGACUGGGCAAUACUUUAUUGUACGGAUAGACCACAUUUUAUUUAUCCGUCCUUCCAUGGAUGGACACCUGGGUUGCUUCCACCUCGUGGGUACAGUGAAUAAUGCUGCUAUGAAUGUGAGUGCACUAAUGUCUGUUUGAGUGUCUGCUUUUAGCUCUUUCAGGAGCAUACCUAGGAGUGGAGUGGCUGGAUCAUAGGGUAACUCUAAGCUUAAUUUUCGUGCAGAACUGCCAGACUGCUGCCUACAAUGGCUGCACCUUUUCACGUUCAGUCAUUUUAGCAUCUAGAGGUUCUCCUCACCCAGGGCGAAGCCAAGCUUCUAACCCCAUCCAGCCUGGGCAACAGAGCAAGACUCCAUCUCAAAAACAAAACAAACAAACAAACAAACAAAAAAAAACGAAAGAAAUAGAGCUUGUGUGGUGCAUGGUUGCUGCUCAGUCAACGGUCUCCAACCCUUCCUCCAGCACCAACGCAUCUUCACCAACCAAAAAUAUGGGGCCGAUGUCAACAUGUUCGAAGCACCUUAUUCUCUAACAUCUCAGGAGAGUGGAACUCCGCCCUCCAACUCUCUAGACUCUGGAGUGAGAGUUAUCUGUGUGACAGUGUGGGGACAACACUGGCUUUGGGGCAAGCUGUCUAGGCUCACAUUGGUGGUUAGGUGACUUCAUGUUCUCUAAUCCUACGGAGGGGCCACUCAACCAUCUUAUCUGUAUAAUGGGGCAACAGUCCUGACCUCACAGGCAAUUGUGAGGUUUCACAAAAAAAAAAAAAAAAGUGCACCCAGACAGGGUCUGGAACCUAGUAAGCCCCAUAGAACCACUGGCCUUCUCACUCCUGACAGCUGGUAUUGGAGGAAGCGCUCAUCUCCUCUGACACAGAAGCCCCCACAGUAGCAGAGGGAACACUGUAACACAAAGGGUUUCCAUUCCAGCUGGAAGUUUCCUUGGCCUGAGGCAUCCAGGGCUCCUGGCUAAAAGGUGACCUAAUUAUUAAUGAAAGCUCCAGAGAUGAAAGCUAAGACAUAAUCCGCCCCUGAAUGGACUCAGAAGGAGCAGAUAAUGGGACAAUAAAAUUAAUCUUGUAGAAAAACAAUUAGCUGUAUCAUUUAUAAAUCUCAUCUCCUUCCACAUGGGGCGAAGAAGGAGCAACACAGUCACAGCGCUCUCGGCACAGCCUCCCAUUUCGCACGCACAGAUGCCCCUUUUCCUGGGACAACAUUUUCCUUUCACAUUCAGGGGUCAUUGUUGGAGGUUUAAAGACAAUCUUCAGAAACCAAGAUGACCCAGAGAACAAAGUGAAUGGCGCCAUCCUAUAUCCCCCCUAUUGCUUGCCCGUUUCCCGUCUCUUCAAUGCAAUUGAAGGACCAUUUAAUGAGAACAUGGUGGGGAACAGGCCCUGCACUAGGCCAGGUCCUGGGGGAAUGAAGGAGCUCCCUCUCUGCCCUCCCAGGGCUCACAGACCAGAGUGGGGAAAGGAGAGGGCACAGAAAGCUGGAGACAGGCAGACCCAAGCCCAGCUCCUCCCUCCCAGCUGUGUGACCUUGAGCAAGUGCUUCACUUCCCUGGGCCUCAGUUUACUCACAGGUAACAUGCGGCGAAUGAGGGUGCCUCCCUCACUCCGACAGCUGGGAGAGGAUUAAAGGAGACAAAGUCUGCAGAUUGCU
rnacentral:lncRNA from 1 species